rnacentral:tRNA from 10 species
GCGCCCGUAGCUCAAUUGGAUAGAGCGUCUGACUACGGAUCAGAAGGUUAGGGAUUCGACUUCUCUCGGGCGCACCA